CGAGCCCUUUGCUCCCCAGGCUGCUCUACAAGCUGCGGUUCCUGGGCCAGACCAGCGUUGGGACGUAUGGUGGCAAAGAGGUGCUGGAGGGGGCCAUUCCUGCUGUGCUGGAGAGGAACUUGGCACCACGGGAGGUUUUAUUUGAUGUGAAGGAGGCAGAAGUCCUUGUGCAGGAAAAGGCUUCCUCCAAGGUGAGUGAGUGACAUCCAAGCUCUGGGAAUCUGGUGGCACGGGGAGCCCAGCUGGGGGCAGAAUAAACCAGGAACGGGGCUGGCAGGGCCUGACCAGAUCCCCAACAGCCCC